AAACCUAGUUCCAUCAACAAACCUACGCCUGUUAGGUCAGCUGCUUCGGUAGAUAACGCCUAUUUACCAGAUGCUACCGAAAUAAAGCAAUAGGAUGUACCUCGAAUCCAACCUCAACCAUCACCACCAAUAGACAUGCUCAGUUUAAACCAGCCCCAACCCCAGCUGCCGGUGCAAGAUCCACAAGCCACUGUUAUGCCAACGAGUGACGCUAGUUUCGAUUUGCUUGGAGCAUUCGGGGAUGAUAAUUCAUCUGACAUUGGCUCGGCUCCAAUACCUGAUAUUUUAGAAAUUAAUGUACAACCAACUUCAAAUGCCAACCUUGAUGAUAUCUUCGGUUCAGUUGGUUCAUCGGCGCCGAAAAUCACCCUUUAGUUUGAUAGUUUUUCUGUACACCAGCCGACACCAACUAGUGCAAACACUUCAGCGACGACUACAGUAAUCCCAACCUGGUGUACUAGUUGGUGUAGUGGUAGUUGGUGUCAUAGUUAUUUUUCUUCUCUGUUUUUGGAAGCUAGUGCAAUGAGUAUAUUAUAUACAUAUAUGUGCAGUAUAUUAUAUUUU